AGUGGUAUAGUUUCGUCGCAGCUGACAGCUGUCGCUGUUUGUUGGCACGCGCCAACAGUCACCAAACCAUCAGGUGCAUCAUUACACCGGGCUCCAUUCAUUUGUGAAACUUUUUCAUCUUUUCUUUUCUUUUAUUUCAUUACCUCAUUUUCUCCUUAGCGACAAUACUAAGUAAAUUCGAUCGAGAUGAAGCAAUGUCAGUUGCUCGAAAUAUGUAUCACAUUGUAAGAGUUUUUAGAUUAAAAUUUUAAGGUUAUAGAAUUUUUAUAAGUUUUAAAAACAAUAAUUAAAUAUUAAUUUAACAAUGAAGUUUUUAAUAUUAAGAAUAAGUUAAUAUUAAAAAUAAGUUUUUUCUACAUAAUAAUCGAAUUUUUUCAUUUAAUUAUCUUUUUCAUUUAUUUUUCUUAAUUAUCUUCCUCUCAGCGAACAUUAUCUUUCACAAGUAACUAUCAUAUGAGUUCCUUAAUUAAAGGUAAUAUUAUCCUCGAAGCUUUGCUCUUUCUUUGUAAAAGUUUUGAUUAAUAUGAAUAAACAUUUUCAAAAUCAUUAGAAAAGCAACGUAAAUCUACGUAACAACGUAAAAUCUACAUAAUUGUAAUUAAAGCUUUAAAUCCUUUUUCAUAUUUUAAAUAUUUUCAUAGAAAUUAUAAUUCUGACAUAUUGUCAAAUGUAAAUCCAGUAAUAUCAACAAAGAUGAAAUUACAAAAAACUUUUUAUUCUUUUAAAGUUGAGAUUCUUUUGUCUCUCUUUUGAUUUUAUUAAUAUAACUCUUUUGAUAUUAUUAAUAUAAUACAUAAAUAAUACAUAUUAUAAAAUAUUAAUUUAUACAUAGAAAAUGUUGCAUUAAUUCGAUUUCAGUUUAAAAAUAACUUGAGAAAAACAACGAAAAAUAUAAAAAUUUAGUUGUAUAUAUAGAUAAUUCUUCAAAAGACUCGAGUAGCAAACAACAUAUGAAUUUAUUUAUAUGUAGGUAGUGUCAUUUUAUCGGUCGCGUAACACGAGCUCGACGAUCACCGCCGUAUUGUCGUUGUCAAAUUAUCUGAUCAGCUCAUUACACAUACGACAUAUGCUGUCCCUUAAAAUAACUCAAAGUUCAAGCUGCUCGGAGUCAGUUGGCACUUGAGGCUAAAAAACUUUUCCCCCUGAUUCGUCCCAGCCUGUUGCGUAUACGCAACGGUCUAUGAAGAGACCAAGUGUGACAAGGUGGUCAAAGGGUUGCGCACGUGUUCGAGCGGACAAAACGCUUCAAGUGCGGCAAACUGCACGCAGUGGUGUCACGGCACGCUGGACUUUUCCCCCUUUACCUUUUGACUGUUGCAUCGGGGAUCGUUCAGCCCCGAGGGUGAAACGAAUCGACGCAGCUGCGCCGUCCACGCUGAUAAUUAUCUCCGUUCGCUACCACCCUAUUGUUUCUUGAACAACCGCCUCCCUAUAUCCAUAAGCUGACUCUUGGCCUGGUUACGAGCCUUCCUUUUUCAGGCCCCGCGGGUCCUCCUACGCAGCUGCCUUUCGAAGGGAUGCAUGAGAAUAAGAGGAUACUGUUCGAGGCUGUUGCAACAAGGAGAGUUAAUUUUUUAUCGUACUGAAAAAUCGUUGUCGAUUCUGCGAGAAGAAGAAGAGUUGCUCCGUCACGUCGCAUAUAUUUUAAUACGAUUUUUCUAAUGAAAUAUAAAAUUUCAGAAUAUUUGCUUUUUUUUUUUUUUGAAUUUUUGUUUUAACAUAUUUAAUUAUAUUACCGUCUCGACAAACGUGGUUAUCCUUAACCUAAAAUUGGAAAUCUGCAGCGAGAUGAAAAGAGGAGAGUAUUAAAAAAGAGACUUGUUUUAAAACAAUCCCAUUUCUACAAUUUUAUAUUAAAAAAGAAGAAGAGGAAGAGGUAGAAGAAGCUUUCUCAAUGAGUUAAAUUGUUUAAUAAAUAAAAUUUUUCUUGCGCCAGUUUCUUCGACUUCGGUGCAGGAGAAGUCUGUAGCUUACUUUAUGAUGUGAAAAAAAAAGAAAGAAAAAAAAAAAAAAAGAAAGAGGAUCAGCCACGUUUCCGGCGGCUCUUUUCACGGUGCUACGGAAAAAAUGGGAACGCGGUUCUUUAGAGAGGUGUUUUCGUGCGCACCGCCUCUUUAGAGAAAAUUUUCAAAGAAACGCGUUGAAUUUGCUUAUAAAAACAGGAAAAAAAAAACCGAAAAAAUACACGUCGGCGUAGAAUUUAUAGUAUAAACAUUUAAACCAGAUGAAUUUCGGUUAUUGUAAUUAAAUGGGUAUUGAGAGAUAACGAAAUUUGUAAAAUUUGUAUGAAAAAAAAUUAUACUCUCUUUAUUCCUAAAAUUAGAAUUUGACUACUAUUUUAAUAAUUGUCUAAUAUUUUUAAUAUACAAGUUUCAUUAGCUAUUUGAAUACAUUGAUCUGUUAUCCAAUAACAUUUCAUUUAUUAUUUUUUUCUGAUCUUAAAAUUUAUCCUACCUUUAUAUUGUAUUUUUAUUUUCUUGGUUCGUAUGCAUAUACUCGCCGUGAAAUUUCAUUCUAACCGAUAAACAAAUAAACAAUUCGACAGGUAAAACAAACAAAGCUCGCCAAGCCAAUUACUCUUCUACGUUGCUAGUAGGAAAAUAGAUGGAGGAAAAACAAAGAUGCUUAAGAGGACGAAGAUUCACGAAGUGUUGGUUAUUUCGAAAAUGAAAAGUUGUUGGAAAAUGAAGAAAGCGAACUUGAGCUGAAAACCGUCAAAUUGCAAUUUGAUGCAUGGGCCGGCUUUCAAAGUUGCUUUUGCAAAUCGUUCGAGCGUGCGCUUGCUAACGAGCCGGCCGAAAUUAAUGAGCAACGACUUACUGCCUUAAGAUGGUUAGGUUAGGUUUAGAAAAACUGUAUGAUAAUACGUUGUCUUUAUUCCGGCGAUAUUCGCACGAUGAACCAGAGAUUUUACUAUACUUAUCGAAAAGAUACGUUUACCAUCGAGAAGACAAAUUUGAAAUUAUGUUAUAAAUAAUAUGAAAAAUUUUAAAAAAGAAGGAAAUAAAUUAAAAUUUAUACAGAUAUAAAA